CUGGGUGAAGUGAAACCCAUUUUAACCUUUGAUCAUUCGUGAGCCUCUGAUUGUCCAUGAGAUGGUUGGAAGUACUAUGGAGCACACCACUCUGCCAGCGCUCCUGCAGGUCAAAUAGAGCCUUGGAAGACCUGAACCUGAAGCUGUGAUUGGCUGCCGUGACAGAAGCUGAAAGCAAUGCCAGCCCAGCAUAAGAGAGGACUAUGGCAGAGCCCUGCGGGUCCUGAGAUCUUUCCAAAAUGUGAAAACUGGCAAUUGGGUGAUGUUUACAGUGUCCCAUGUAUGGCCUCGGCCAUCCUGUCAUGUGGCAGCUGUGGU